rnacentral:rRNA from 1 species
CCUGAACGCUGGCGGCGUGGCUAAGACAUGCAAGUCGCACGCAUGUAGCAAUACAUGAGUGGCGAACGGGUGAGUAAUGAAUCGCUAAUGUACCCUGGACUCUGGGAUAGCCAGCCGAAA